rnacentral:lncRNA from 1 species
AUGGGUCUACAUAAUGACUAUUGCAACUCAAGAGUAACAGUAGUAAUCACAAGAAAUCUCCUAGUGACAGUUGAAAUAGGAACUAAGAAGAUGAGAGAAAAAGAGGAAGAAAACCAACAACAAAUGGAAAACAAAGCCAAAACAAACAUGCUAACUUGGUCCAUCAAGGUGAAUUUGCCUCAAUUAUUCCAACUUCUCUCCAACAGUCCGGUUCUCACAGCAGCUGCUUUUCGCAACUGCCUGUGGCAUUAACUUUUCAAACUUUAAUUUUCCAGUCAGAUGCCAGGCAUACCUGAGCUCACUUAUGACAGGCACGAUUAGCCAUGCUUGUUGGGUCUAGGAACCAUGGGGUCUUUACUGCAAUGAGAAAUUAAACCUUAAAAAGUCAUUCUGAUUUACAACUAUACAAAUUCUCACAAUGUGGUAAUAAAGAGGCUACAUGAUAAAAGCUGACA